rnacentral:rRNA from 1 species
CCUACGGGAGGCAGCAGUGGGGGAUAUUGCACAAUGGGGGAAACCCUGAUGCAGCGACGCCGCGUGGGCGAAGAAGUAUUUCGGUAUGUAAAGCCCUAUCAGCAGGGAAGAAGAAAUGACGGUACCUGAGUAAGAAGCACCGGCUAAAUACGUGCCAGCAGCCGCGGUAGUACGUAUGGUGCAAGCGUUAUCCGGAUUUACUGGGUGUAAAGGGAGCGCAGGCGGCACGGCAAGCCUGAUGUGAAAGCCCGCGGCCCAACCGCGGGACUGCAUUGGGAACUACCGGGCUGGAGUGGCGGAGAGGUAGGCGGAAUUCCUAGUGUAGCGGUGAAAUGCGUAGAUAUUAGGAGGAACACCAGUGGCGAAGGCGGCUUACUGGACUGUAACUGACGUUGAGGCUCGAAAGCGUGGGGAGCAAACAGGAUUAGAUACCCCAGUAGUC